CCUACGGGAGGCAGCAGUGGGGAAUAUUGGGCAAUGGGCGCAAGCCUGACCCAGCAACGCCGCGUGAAGGAAGAAGGCUUUCGGGUUGUAAACUUCUUUUGACAGGGAGGAGUAGAAGACGGUACCUGUCGAAUAAGCCACGGCUAACUACGUGCCAGCAGCCGCGGUAAUACGUAGGUGGCAGGCGUUGUCCGGAUGUACUGGGUGGAAAGGGCGUGUAGCCGGGUUGACAAGUCAGAUGUGAAAUCCUUCGGCUUAACCGGAGAACUGCAUUUGAAACUGUUGAUCUUGAGUACUGGAGAGGAAGACGGAAUGCCUAGUGUAGCGGUGAAAUGCGUAGAUAUUAGGAGGAACACCAGUGGCGAAGGCGGCCUGCUGGACAGCAACUGACGGUGAGGCGCGAAAGCGUGGGGAGCAAACAGGAUUAGAUACCCGGGUAGUC
rnacentral:rRNA from 1 species